rnacentral:rRNA from 1 species
UGGCGACCAUAGCGUUUUGGACCCACCUGAUUCCAUCCCGAACUCAGAAGUGAAACGAAACAGCGUCG